rnacentral:lncRNA from 1 species
GUUGUCUCAUUGUCACAUACGACAUCUAUAUAUGGCUCAAAAACGAAACGAGAUGGGAUAAAAAGGGAUAAAAAAAAUCUACGCUACUUUUUUAAUAUAUUUAUAAUGGGCUUAAUAUGAGUCAAAAUAGAGUAAAAUAGUGGGUCGUAUUUGGGUAUAAGCGUCACGCCGGAUUGCCGAUUUUUUGCAAGCGUGACAGGUGAAAGUCAAAUGAUUGUGUAGUGAAAAACGGGAAAUGAAGUCUAGCGGGACACGGAUAAUUACAAAAAAUUAGAACUGCAUAGUAUAAGCGGGAUGCGGGAAUCUGACAAAACAAUACUAGUAAGCGGAAUACGGGAAUCUGCGAAAACAGUAAGCGGGAUCCGGGAUCAGAACCCCCCAAUGAGACCCCAGAAUAAGAUAUUUUUGUAUAUUCAUCCUAUUGUUACAG